rnacentral:rRNA from 1 species
GUCUACGGCCAUGCCGCCCUGAACGCACCCGAUCCCGUCUGAUCUCGGAAGCUAAGCAGGGUCGGGCCUGGUUAGUGCUUGAGUGGGAGACCACCUAGGAAGACCAGGUGCUGUAGGCA